rnacentral:rRNA from 1 species
UACGUAGGGUGCGAGCGUUAAUCGGAAUUACUGGGCGUAAAGCGUGCGCAGGCGGUCUGUUAAGACCGAUGUGAAAUCCCGGGCUUAACCUGGGAACUGCAUUGGUGACUGGCAGGCUUUGAGUGUGGCAGAGGGAGGGUAGAAUUCCACGUGUAGCAGGUGAAAUGCGUAGAGAUGUGGAGGAAUACCGAUGGCGAAGGCAGCCUCCUGGGCCAACACUGACGCUCAUGCACGAAAGCGUGGGGAGCAAACAGG